rnacentral:rRNA from 1 species
UACGAAGAGUGCGAGCGUUAUUCGGAUUUAUUGGGCGUAAAGGGUGCGUAGGUGGUAUGUUAAGUCUGUUGUUAAAUUUUCCGGCCUAACCGGAAAUCUGCAGUGGAAACUGGCGUACUUGAGAGUGGAAGAGGGAAGUGGAAUUCUCGGAGUAGCGGUAAAAUGCGUGGAUCUCGAGAGGAACACCGAUGGCGAAGGCAGCUUCUUGGUCCAUUUCUGACACUG